GCCGUUGUUCUCCGAUGCAGCUGUAUUUACGCUGAGUUGGAGGAUAAUGCCCUAUUCCAAAAGAUGCUUAUGAAUGCUUUUCUGUGCGGAUACUCAGUGCUACAAAGAUAAUGAAGACUAAGUUCUUGUUAUCAAGGAGCUUCCGGACCAGUGGGAGAGGUAGACGCAUAAACAGGCUCAGGUGUUAGAGCGAAUUCUGAGGCCACAGGACAGUCGGCAACGGCAUCGGCCCCGCUGAACCCUUUCGGAAUGCGAAGUCUCCAGGGUGGUGAUCCCAGCCUGAAAGAAAGCUGCUGGUCCAGAGCACGUGCUCAGUAAAUCGCUGCUGAGCGAACACACCCGUCUCCACUUUUCUCUCUAUGGUCUCAGGAUCACUUUACCCUAGUUUCUCCCGGCAGGUGGGUCUUGCUCCUGGAACAGGUAGGUACAUGCGAUGGCUCUCGCCUGGUCCUGCCACCCUUCCCCAGUGGGAGGCAGCCCCUCCCUCCGUGGAGCCCCCCUGUAGACAGCGGAGUGAAGGGUGGGAGCCCAGACCAGUCUGAAGAAGGCUGUUCUCAGUGUGGGGUAGGAACCCGGCAGUGGCAGUGACAGUGGAAGGUGGAUGCGGUUGGUGGCCAUUUGACAUGGGCGAUGAGAGGGAGGGGCAACCCGAAUGGAGUCUCAGGUCUCGUCUAACUGAGGAGCGGAGGGGACUCCUCAGAGGGGUGUGUGACGGGCCGCAGGCCCGGUGGGUCUGAGAAGAGAAGGGCGGAAACCGUGCGGUGGUCUUGCAGGUUCUGAUCCUGAGGCUCCUAUGUGAUACACACAGAGGGGGGUCUGCAGUCCCUCUGUGGGCUGAGUUUGGAGGGUAGGAGAAAGGCGGGGCUGAGAGGGACGUGCAGAGUGUCUGCGCAUUUGUGACUGGAGGAAGCACUGGGGGUAGGUGAGAAAACCAGCAAAAUCGGAAAGGAAGCGAAUGGAAAGGUGGACGGUGAGAUAAUGAAGUGACGACGGGAACAGAGUCAGAGACAUAAGGUA